rnacentral:rRNA from 1 species
CCCUUAGAUGUCCGGGGCCGCACGCGCGCUACACUGAAGGACUCAGCGUGUCUCUCCCCCUAUCCCGAAAGGGAUGGGCAACCCGUUGAACCUCCUUCGUGCUAGGGAUUGGGGUUUGCAAUUAUCCCCCAUGAACGAGGAAUUCCCAGUAAGCGCGAGUCAUCAGCUCGCGUUGAUUACGUCCCUGCCCUUUGUACACACCGCCCGUCGUUACUACCGAUUGGAUGGUUUAGUGAGACCCUCGGAUCGGUCCCGACUCGGGGUGGGCUUCUGCCCCGGUCGUGGUUUCGCCGAGAAGACGGUCAAACUUGACUAUCUAGAGGAAGUAAAGGUCGUAACA